AUGUUUUUUUGUAUAUCUUCAUUAUUUAAUAAUGAUUUAUCAAAUAAAUUUUCUAAAGAUAUUACAUUUCUUUUUUCUGCCAUCUCAACCGUAUCUUUUUCAACUGUAUCUUUCUCAACCAUAUCUUUCUCAACCAUAUCUUUCUCAAACGUAUCUUUCUCAACUGUAUCUUUCUCAACCGUAUCUUUCUCAACUGUAUCUUUCUCAACUGUAUCUUUCUCAACUGUAUCUUUCUCAACCGUAUCUUUCUCGUGUGCUUCUUUCUUAUUCCUGUCAUCAUUUAUAUUUUCUUGGACCACAGAAUUUGAGUUUGUUGAUUCAUUUACAUUAUUGACAGUAUGUUUCAAUUCAUUUUUUUCAAUAUAUUCUUUUUGUUUUUCCUGUCCUUGUUCAUUUUUAUCAUGUCCACUCGGGUUUGCAUUAUUAAUAGUUGUAACAACAGAUGUAGUGGCAACCGUAUCAUUAACUGUUGUAGUAGUGAUAGCCAUGACAUUCUCUUCUUCUUUUUUCUGAUUUUCUAUUAUUAUUUUAUUACUUUUAUUACUUUUGUUAUAUGUAUUACUACUACUACGACUACUAUUAUUAUUAUUACUACUAUUAUUAUUACUACUAUUAUUAUUAUUACUAUUAUUACUAUCACAUUUUACAUUUUCCUUAGCAACAUUUUCCAAAUAAUUCUCAACACAUUUUAUGCGUUCAGUUGAAGACAUAGUUGUACUGUUAUCAUUACUUUCAUCAGGUAUAUAAUUAUUUAUAUUAUUAUGAACAUUGUCAUAAUUAUUAGUAUAAUAACUUUCUUUCUCAUUAUUAACAGUUAAUGUUGGAUGACACAUUUUAUGUAUGUUUUUGUUUUCGUUUAUUGAAAAGUUUGUUAUUAAUCCAUUCAAAGCAUCAUCCUCUAUUUUUACAUUUUUAUCACCAGUGUCAGAUUGUAUUAAUAACUUUUCCGAUAAAUAAGAACAUACUUCUUUUUCAGCGUAUUUUUUUUCUGAAUUUUCAAAAUUAUCAUUUACGAAAUUUGUACAACUUUUUAAAUCCAUUUUUGUAAAUACAAAUUGUUAAAAAAAAAAAAAAAAAAAAAAAAAAAUUUAUUAAAAUACAGUAUAAAAAUGUAACAAUAAUACAUUUACAAAAUGCUACUAUUUUGUAUUCACAAAUACACAUAUACGUAUAUGAAUAUGCUGUAAAUCAUGAAUAUAUAUAUAUAUAUAUAUAUAUAUGUAUGUAUAUGUAUAUUUUUUUGUUUUGUUUUAUUGUACCAUAAUUUAUAAUUUAAAAAAAUUAUGGGUGUAUAUAUAUAUAUAUAUAUAUAUAUAUAUAUAUAUACAUACAUAAAUAGAAAUUUAUAAAGUUAUGUAAAUUUUAACAUCUGUAAAAAAUAAUUAAAAAUUCAUAAGAAAUGGAGGGGGUAACAGAAAUUACAUAUAACUAUGAACUCGUGUUUUACAUAGAUGUAUAUGCUCAUAUAUUUAUGUUCAUAUAUUUAUGUUCAUAUAUUUAUGUUCAUAUAUUUAUGUUCAUAUAUUUAUGUUCAUAUAUUUAUGUUCAUAUUUUAAUGUUCAUAUAUUUAUGGUGCAAACACUUAUGUAUGUAACUACUUAAUGAUUUAAUAUAUUUUUUUAAAAAAAACAGUAUAAUAAAAUAAAACAAUAACAAAGUUCA
ensembl:lncRNA